AUGCACGCUGGCGGCGUGCCUAAUACAUGCAAGUCGAGCGAACAGAUGAGGAGCUUGCUCCUCUGACGUUAGCGGCGGACGGGUGAGUAACACGUGGAUAACCUACCUAUAAGACUGGGAUAACUACGGGAAACCGGAGCUAAUACCGGAUAAUAUAUUGAACCGCAUGGCUCAAUAGUGAAAGACGGUUUUGCUGUCACUUAUAGAUGGAUCCGCGCCGCAUUAGCUAGUUGGUAAGGUAACGGCUUACCAAGGCAACGAUGCGUAGCCGACCUGAGAGGGUGAUCGGCCACACUGGAACUGAGACACGGUCCAGACUCCUACGGGAGGCAGCAGUAGGGAAUCUUCCGCAAUGGGCGAAAGCCUGACGGAGCAACGCCGCGUGAGUGAUGAAGGUCUUCGGAUCGUAAAACUCUGUUAUUAGGGAAGAACAAAUGUGUAAGUAACUAUGCACGUCUUGACGGUACCUAAUCAGAAAGCCACGGCUAACUACGUG
rnacentral:rRNA from 1 species